rnacentral:rRNA from 1 species
AUUGAACGCUGGCGGCAUGCCUUACACAUGCAAGUCGAACGGCAGCACGGGAGCAAUCCUGGUGGCGAGUGGCGAACGGGUGAGUAAUAUAUCGGAACGUGCCCAGUCGUGGGGGAUAACGUAGCGAAAGCUACGCUAAUACCGCAUACGAUCUAUGGAUGAAAGCGGGGGAUCGCAAGACCUCGCGCGAUUGGAGCGGCCGAUAUCAGAUUAGGUAGUUGGUGGGGUAAAGGCUCACCAAGCCGACGAUCUGUAGCUGGUCUGAGAGGACGACCAGCCACACUGGGACUGAGACACGGCCCAGACUUCUACGGGAGGCAGCAGUAGGGAAUAUUGGACAAUGGGCGCAAGCCUGAUCCAGCCAUGCCGCGUGAGUGAAGAAGGCCUUCGGGUUGUAAAGCUCUUUUGUCCGGAAAGAAAAGCUUCGGGUUAAUACCCUGGAGUCCUGACGGUACCGGAAGAAUAAGCACCGGCUAACUUCGUGCCAGCAGCCGCAGUAAAAC